rnacentral:lncRNA from 1 species
UUAGAACUAACUACCAAUUUUGCAGCUAGAGUUAAUCUUGUUGAUGUAGGAAAGAACCUCUUAAAACUCCCUUAAGAGGUUUUGGAUUAGAUUAUAAGUUUCAGCAAAUAUGGCCUUGGGUGUAUAAAUGUCAUGACAUGGUUAUCUUGAAUUCAGACCUGUAACACCCAAUCUACAAUUAGUUGAAAUUGUGUACAGAAUAAUUCAUUUAUUGGUUGAUUGGUUGUGCGUGAUUGU